rnacentral:ncRNA from 1 species
GUACUACAAGGAGUCGAAUAUGUAGGACAUUUGGACAAAAUGAAACAUAAUGCGUCAUGCAUUACACACCGCAUGCAUUUGUCAUGGGGAUUUGGGAUUGCAAUUAUUCCUCAUGAAUGAGGAAUUCCAGUAAAUGUGGGGCAUAAACUCGCUUUGAUUAAAUCCUUGC